rnacentral:rRNA from 1 species
GUCUACGGCCAUGCCACCCUGAACAAGCCCGAUGUCUGAUCUCGGAAGCUAAGCAGGAUCAGGCCUGGUUAGUACUUGGAUGGGAGACCACCUAAGAAGACCAGGUGCUGUAGGCA